AUGGAUUGGCAGGAUUAACAUAG
rnacentral:piRNA from 1 species